UACGUAGGCAGCGAGCGUUGUUCGGAGUUACUGGGCGUAAAGCGUGCGUAGGCGGUGCCAUAAGUCUGUUGUGAAAUCUCCCGGCUUAACUGGGAGGGUGCGGUGGAAACUGUGGUGCUGGAGUGUGGGAGAGGUAGGCGGAAUUCCUGGUGUAGCGGUGAAAUGCGUAGAUAUCUGGAGGAACACCGGUGGCGAAGGCGGCAUCCUGGACCGACACUGACACUGAGGAGCGAAAGCCAGGGGAGCAAACGGG
rnacentral:rRNA from 1 species